rnacentral:lncRNA from 1 species
CAAUGGGCCCUUGUUUGCAAUGUGCCACGCUCCCCAGAUUCUCCUCCUGAGACUAGGCCAUGGAUUUCACAACCAGGAGAAGUGGGACUCAGAAGGGAUAAGUAUGUUUCUCUAUGACCUGGUUGCCGGAGUGGACCUUAAUUAAAUGGAAAAGCGCAAUCAAGCAUCUGCAUGGAAAAGAACUGCUUUGAAAUGGCAACCGGGUGUCCAGCCCUCAUCCGCUCACAGGUUCUGGAGUACAUCUGCAGGAUGUGCAGGUAUGUUACAUAGGUAAGCGUGAACCAUGAUGGUUUGCUGCAUAGAUCAACCAUCGGUUUGGUAUUAAGCCCAGCA